rnacentral:rRNA from 1 species
GUGGAAGCCGAGAACCACACGCGCGCGCGCCCGGAGCACGCGGAUCCCUCACUCCCAUUUCCGGACGAGGACGGAAGAUUCCUUGCGCCCGAGGGUGGAUAUGGUGGCGAUCGAGGGCCAGAGCCUGGCGGAGACGGCGGCGGUGGCGGCGCCGGCGCCGGCGGGGCUCCCGAAGGAGGCGCGGGGGCUGCUGCACGAGCUGGCGGCGGAGUGGGCGGACGUGGCCGACUGCCGCGCGCUGGAGGUGGUGCCGCUCAAGGGCGCCAUGACCAACGAGGUGUACCAGGUGCGCUGGCUCACCGGCGGCGGCGAGGAGAAGGGGGAGGGCGAGUACCGGAAGGUGCUGAUGCGGGUGUACGGGGAGGGCGUGGAGGUCUUCUUCGACCGGGAGGACGAGGUGCGCACGUUCGAGUGCAUGUCCCGCCACGGCCACGGCCCGCGCCUCCUCGGCCGCUUCCCUACCGGCCGCGUCGAGGAGUUCAUCCACGCCAGGACACUUUCAGCUGUUGACCUGCGUGAUCCAGAGAUUGCAGCUAUUAUAGCAUCCAAAUUGAGGGAGUUCCACCACCUUGACAUGCCAGGUCCAAAACGUGUCCUCAUGUGGGAUAGAUUGAGGAACUGGCUCAAAACUGCCAAGAGCGUCUGCCCCUCUGAUGAAGCCAAAGAGUUCCGUUUGGAUAACCUGGAGAAGGAGAUCAAUGCAUUGGAGAGUGAAUUUUCAGGGGAAGACCAGUGCAUAGGAUUUUGCCACAAUGAUCUCCAGUAUGGCAAUAUCAUGAUUGAUGAAGAGACCAAAGCACUGACCAUCAUUGACUACGAGUAUGCAAGCUUUAAUCCAAUUGCUUUUGAUAUCUCAAACCAUUUCUGCGAGAUGGCUGCGGACUACCAUUCAGAAGAGCCUCAUAUACUGGACUACACAAAAUAUCCAGAUCUCGAUGAACGGAAGAGGUUUGUGCAGACCUACCUGAGCUCUUCAGGUGAGGAACCUGAUGCAGAAAAGAUCAAGGAUCUGAUGAAUAACAUUGAGAAGUACACACUCGCCAGCCAUCUCGUCUGGGGCCUCUGGGGAAUAAUUUCGGAACACGUCAAUGAUAUCGACUUCGACUACAUGGAGUAUGCGCGGCAGAGGCUUGCGCAAUACUGGCUGAAGAAACCCGAGAUCCUAUCCUGCCGUGUCGAUGAUGAAUGAACCCCCCAGCAAUGAUCAGGUGGUGUCUUUUCUGAUGGCCACUGGCUUCUGCACAUAGUACAGCUUGCGAUGCUCCUGGCGCGUCGAUGAGCUUGCCUAGGGUACAGAGUUUAGGUGAAGGUGGGGUGUGCUGGCUUUUUAGUAGUUCCCUUGCUCAUAAUCAGAAGGUGCUGGUAGUAAGGUGAUGUGUGAUCACUUCUGUGUUGUGUGUUUUCAGUAACAGUGGGUAGUUACUUGCGUGUGUUCAGGUGUACAUAUUUUACAGUUUGGGAGUGUGGCUGAUGCUAUCAGGAGUAAUAAAAGAAUGUAAAUAUUUGCGUUGAAUAAAACAGGGAUACAGAAGGAAAAUCAUGAACAAAUCCUGCUUUGAACAUUUGG